rnacentral:lncRNA from 1 species
CGUUCGCGUGCUGUCGGUAUCUCUGUUGGCAGCAUAACACAUACUAUAAGAGUGGCCCGUAAAGAUAGACCGCCGGCCAGUUGACGAACGACCGCUUUGCCUGCAACCUGGGAGAAUAGACUUUGUUUCACCGGCUGAGGUUCUAUAAUCUGCAGCGCCACGAUGCUGAGAUUGCUCGGUGCUCUGCUGUUUGUGUCGGCUGCUUGCGCCUUCGUCUGUCCACCCAACUACUGCGACAGCGUCAAGUGUCCGAAGCUCAGACCAGAACAAUGUCCCGGACGCCUAAGUUCCGAAGCCAGCUUCUGCGAAUGCUGCGUGGGCUGCAUUCGCUGGAUAGAUGCGGACCAGCCAUGCCCAUUUCCCGCAAGCGGCGUGCCAUUACAAUCCGAAUGCAAGCCGGGACUCGUGUGCGACCCGAAAACCCACCUCUGCGAACGCCCGUCUUCAUAACGUGUC